UCUCCUGAGACAGCAAGACCAACCCCUCCU
rnacentral:piRNA from 1 species